UACGAAGGGGGCUAGCGUUGCUCGGAAUCACUGGGCGUAAAGGGUGCGUAGGCGGGUUUUUAAGUCAGAGGUGAAAUCCUGGAGCUCAACUCCAGAACUGCCUUUGAUACUGAAAGUCUGAGUAUGGGAGAGGUGAGUGGAACUGCGAGUGAGAGGUGAAAUUCGUAGAUAUUCGCAAGAACACCAGUGGCGAAGGCGGCUCACUGGCCCAUUCUGACGCUGAGGCACGAAAGCGUGGGGGAGCAA
rnacentral:rRNA from 1 species